UUGAGGUUGGAGCCCCUGCUCUGAGGUUUUGGGGCUCUGGCAGGCUACUGGACUGCUGUCCCCCCUGCAGUGCUUGUGGACAGAGUCACUUCCAGCUUGAAUUCAGGAAUUAUAAAUCAGUAUUUGGACUCACUCUGCAUUUGAUGUCUGUACCAUGGAACAGUGAGACUAUGAAGAAUAAACAAGAGGUCAUUGGCCAAGGAAUAAUCUGGACAAUGCCUGACACAGCACCCAGAUCAGCUUGUUAAAUAUGGCACCAAGGUGAUCACUUUAGGGAUCUUCCUCAGAACAUGAAACAAUAUCAAGAAAAAAUCACUGCCAGCCACGCAGGAAAUGGUGCACAACCCAAAAAUCGAAUAUUGCCUCCAAGAGUCAUCUCAGGUAGACCCAUUGCUCUCCUCUCCUUCUCCAGUCACUUCUCCAACCCCUUGACCUUAAUCUCUCUCCAUAUGAAAAUAUCCUCCAACUCCACAAAAUGCCUUGCUUUUUUGUUCCCACAUUUUAUCACUGACUGUUCCUACUACCUGGAAUAUUCUUUUGCCUGUUCUAAAAUGGGAUAAAAGAGCUAGUUCUAAUAACCACUUAAUCAGGUACUAAUUGUAUGACCAUAAAAAUUAUUCAAACUUU